rfam:Gossypium hirsutum cultivar TM-1 chromosome 24, whole genome shotgun sequence
GUUAAAGUUAACAACCCACCAUUUUUUUUAGUUAAAAUUAGAACCGCCGUCGGGGAGUGAAAUAGAACAUGAAACCGUAAGCUCCCAAGCAGUGGGAAGAGUCCAGGGCUCUGACCGGGUGCUUGUUGAAGAAUGAGCCGGUGACUCAUAGGCAGUGGCUUGGUUAAGGGAACCCACCAGAGUGGUAGCAAAAGCCAGUUUUCAUAGGGAAAUUGUCACUGCUUAUGGACCCAAACUUAGGUGAUCUAUCCAUGACCAAGAUGAAGCUUGGGUGAAACUAAGUGAAGGUCCAAAUCAACUAAUGUUGAAGAAUCAGCUGAUGAGUUGUGGUUAAGGGUGAAAUGCCACUCGAACCUAGAGCUAACUGAUUCUCCCGAAAAUGAGUUAAGGUGUAGCAAUUGACUGGACAUCUAGGGGUAAAGCACUAUUUUGAUGCGGGCCAUGAGAGCGAUACCAAAUCGAGGCAAACUCUGAAUACUAGAUAUUACCUUAAAAUAACAAAGGUCGAGGUCGGCCAGUGAGACGAUGGGGUGUAAACUUCAUCGUUGAGAGGGAAACAACCUGAAUCACCAGCUAAUGCCCCUAAAUGACCGCUCAGUGAUAAAAGAGGUAGGGGUGCAGAGACAGCUAGGAGGUUUGCCUAGAAGCAGCCACCCUUGAAAGAGUGCGUAAUAGCUCACUGAUCGAGAGCUCUUGCACCGAAGAUGAACGGGGCUAAGCGAUAUGCUGAAGCUGUGGGAUGUAAAAAUGCAUCGAUAAAGGAGCGUUCCGCCUUAGGAGCGGUUAACUUUUUUAAUUUUUUUAUUGAUUUUUUUAAAAAAAAUUCAUGUGUCACACCGUAGUUGUGCCACGUGGUGGCUUUAACUG